AUUGAACGCUGGCGGCAUGCUUUACACAUGCAAGUCGAACGGCAGCGAGGAGAAGCUUGCUUCUCUGUCGGCGAGUGGCGAACGGGUGAGUAUAGCAUCUGAACGUGCCAAGUUGUGGGGGAUAACCAAACGAAAGUUUGGCUAAUACCGCGUAAGCUCUAAGGAGGAAAGUAGGGGACCUAAAUAAGGCCUUACGCUAUUUGAUCGGCCGAUGUCGGAUUAGCUAGUUGGUGGGGUAAUGGCUCACCAAGGCAAUGAUCCGUAGCGGGUCUGAGAGGACGAUCCGCCACACUGGGACUGAGACACGGUCCAGACUCCUACGGGAGGCAGCAGUGGGGAAUUUUGGACAAUGGGGGAAAGCCUGAUCCAGCCAUGCCGCGUGUAUGAAGAAGGCCUUAGGGUUGUAAAGUACUUUUGUUAGGGAAGAAAAGCUAGUUUUUAAUAAAAAUUAGUGAUGACGGUACCUAAAGAAUAAGCACCGGCUAACUACGUG
rnacentral:rRNA from 1 species